rnacentral:rRNA from 1 species
AACAGAUAAGGAGCUUGCUCCUUUGACGUUAGCGGCGGACGGGUGAGUAACACGUGGGUAACCUACCUAUAAGACUGGGACAACUUCGGGAAACCGGAGCUAAUACCGGAUAAUAUGUUGAACCGCAUGGUUCAAUAGUGAAAGAUGGUUUUGCUAUCACUUAUAGAUGGACCCGCGCCGUAUUAGCUAGUUGGUGAGGUAACGGCUCACCAAGGCAACGAUACGUAGCCGACCUGAGAGGGUGAUCGGCCACACUGGAACUGAGACACGGUCCAGACUCCUACGGGAGGCAGCAGUAGGGAAUCUUCCGCAAUGGGCGAAAGCCUGACGGAGCAACGCCGCGUGAGUGAUGAAGGUCUUAGGAUCGUAAAACUCUGUUAUUAGGGAAGAACAAACGUGUAAGUAACUGUGCACGUCUUGACGGUACCUAAUCAGAAAGCCACGGCUAACUACGUGC